AGAGCAUGGCGGGCUGCGGGUCUCCAGCCCUGCCGCGUGGGGAGGCGGCUGAGGCCUGGUGAGAAUUCAAGCCUGGCGCGGGAAGUCUGGCAGCGGUAGGGGACCCAUCGCAUCCUCCGCUGCUGCUGGCCUUGGUGCCAAGCCCCUCAUUGCGGGCCGGCCGCUCUGAGUGCAGGCCCGCUGAGGCUGCGCCCACCUGGAACUCGCGCUGGCCCGCGAGCCGUGCCGCCCCGCCCAGCCCAGUCCAGCCCCGGUUCCCGCCUGCACCUUUACCUCCACACCUCCUUACAAGCGGAGGGAGCCGGCUCUGGCCUCCACCAGCCCAGAGAGGGGCUGGGAGAGUGCAGUGGCGGGCUGAAGGGCUCCGAGGCCGAGGAGGUGCUGAGAGUGAGUGAGGGCUGCUAGCACGUUGUCACCUCUCAGUAACUGGAACACAUUAUUACUCCAGGUUGUCAAUGUGAAAAGCCAAAGGUGAGCAUGCAAAUUCUGGACUGAACAGGAGAGUAAAUUUAAAGUUCGGCAUAGUGAGCAGCUACUGUGGAACAGAGUGUCCAACAGUCUUUGUCAUGUCACCAGGAUUAAAUGACACAAAUGGGGACUAGACAUCUCAGCCAUAUGCCUGGUCUUUCUCUUGGAAAAUUGUUUAAUUAUGAACCUAUACGAGGGUUUCACUCUGUCACCCAAGCUGGAGGGCAAUGAUACGACCAUGGCUCACUGCAGCAUCAAACUCCUGGGCUCAAGUGAUCCUCCUGCUUCACCUUCCUGAGUAGCUGGGACUACGAGCUUACACCACCACCCCUGGCUAAUGUUUAUUAUUUUUUGUUUGGUAGAGACAGAGCGUCCCUAUAUUUCCCAGGCUGGUCUAGAACUCUUAGCCUCAAGUGACCCUCUCACCCUCGCAGCCAAAUUGCUGAGUUUACAGGGUUGAGCCACUGCACCCAGCCUCAUCAGUUUCAUAAUAGGUCAAUGUGUAUUCCUCAGUAUUCCUCCAGUCUUAAUUCAUGAGCAUCUGAUUUCUCUCCUAUGAUAUUUGAAAAUUGUCAUUUUUUUCACUUAUUAAAAAUACUUUAAAUAUUAUACCGCUAAAGCACUA